AUUGAACGCUGGCGGCAGGCCUAACACAUGCAAGUCGAACGGGAACAGGAAGCAGCUUGCUGCUUUGCUGACGAGUGGCGGACGGGUGAGUAAUGUCUGGGAAACUGCCUGAUGGAGGGGGAUAACUACUGGAAACGGUAGCUAAUACCGCAUAACGUCGCAAGACCAAAGAGGGGGACCUUCGGGCCUCUUGCCAUCGGAUGUGCCCAGAUGGGAUUAGCUAGUAGGUGGGGUAACGGCUCACCUAGGCGACGAUCCCUAGCUGGUCUGAGAGGAUGACCAGCCACACUGUAACUGAGACACGGCACAGACUCCUACGGGAGGCAGCAGCGGGGAAUAUUGCACAAUGGGCGCAAGCCUGAUGUAGCCAUGCCGCGUGUAUGCAGAAGGCCUUCGGGUUGUAAAGUACUUUCAGCGGGGAGGAAGGGAGUAAAGUUAAUACCUUUGCUCAUUGACGUUACCCGCAGAAGAAGCACCGGCUAACUCCGUG
rnacentral:rRNA from 1 species